UAUGUGAUCGUCUCUCGCAUAUCAAUAAGCGGAGGAAAAGAAACUAACAAGGAUUCCCCUAGUAACGGCGAGUGAAGCGGGAAGAGCUCAAAUUUGAAAUCUUAAAGGGUUUCCCUUUACGAAUUGUAGUUUAAAGAAGUGUUUUCUGUUGAGGUUUUGGUAAAAGUUCUUUGGAAUAGGACAUCAUAGAGGGUGAGAAUCCCGUAUUUGACCUUUACUUUCAACUUUGUGAUACACUUUCAAAGAGUCGGAUUGUUUGGGAAUGCAGUCCAAAAUGGGUGGUAAAUUUCAUCUAAAGCUAAAUAUUGGCGAGAGACCGAUAGCGAACAAGUACCGUGAGGGAAAGAUGAAAAGAACUUUGAAAAGAGAGUUAAACAGUACGUGAAAUUGUCAAAAGGGAAGCGUUUGACACCAGUGUUGUUUUUCUGAAAAUCAAUUAAAGAACUGUUUAUGCUAAGUUGUUUAGACUUUAUCAGCUAACUGUUUAGUUUUGAGCUUUUCUUUAAUGCACUUUUCAGUUAACAAGUCAACAUCAAUUUCUUUUGCUGUAAAGAAGCUUGAGGAAGGUGGCUUGAGAUUCGUCUUAAGUGUUUAUAGCCUCUUGCCUAUGCAGUCGGAGAGAUUGAGGUCUGCAGCGUAGAUCCUUCGGGGCUAAAUGCAUUUGUGCUAAGUUAUAGCAUUUUAUAGACAACUUGUUGACUAUGAUUUGUCUUGUAGCUUACUCGCUUAUGUUAUUUUACCUACGCUUAGGAUGUUGACACACGCGCGUGCUCG
rnacentral:rRNA from 1 species